rnacentral:lncRNA from 1 species
UUCGGUGUUAAGAGCCAAUACUUACAUAGUGAGGGCACCUAGCAUUUUAUGUAGAUUAACUCACUUAUUUUGACAACAACCCUGUGAUGUUGUAUUGUAAUUAUCUCCAUUUCACAGAUUAAGAAAUUGAGGCAUCAAGAGCUUGACCUGCCCACGUUCAUACAGCUAGUGAGUGAUGGAGGCGGAGUUAGGUCCCCGCUGUCUGGUUCUGGACGCCUUCAUGUCAAACGUCACUGUCUCCAGCCUUCUGAAGGACGCGGAUUUGGAAUGCGUGCGCGGUGACCAGUGCAGACCUCCGCCUCGGCAGGGAGAAAUGGAGGCUUCGGGCCCCCGCCGCUCCCCAAAGAACCGCAGAUUGCUGUGGGCUGAUUUUUACGGCCUCUGUUCCACCAUUGCAGCCUGUGACUCCGAGGUGCAAACUCGGCCAGCCCAGAGAGGUAAUUUUAGGGAAAUGCCUGAGGAUGAGGACUGA